CCCGGGAGCGAGGUGCUGCAGCG
rnacentral:miRNA from 1 species